rnacentral:rRNA from 1 species
AGUACGACCCGUUACGACGGGGAAGUGUCUGACGUCAGGCUUCCAAGAAAAGCCCGAACCACGUUAAUUCAAAUUGGCCCGUACCCUAAACCGACACAGGUGGGAAGGUAGAGUAUACCCAGGGGCGCGAGAUAACUCUCUCUAAGGAACUCGGCAAAAUGGCCCCGUAACUUCGGGAGAAGGGGUGCCACUGAAAGGUGGCCGCAGUGAAGAGUCCCAGGCGACUGUUUACCAAAAACACAGGUCUCCGCUAAGUCGCAAGACGAUGUAUGGGGGCUGACGCCUGCCCAGUGCCGGAAGGUUAAGGAAGUUGGUCAGACUUUUAGGAGUUGAAGCUAGCGACUGAAGCCCCGGUGAACGGCGGCCGUAACUAUAACGGUCCUAAGGUAGCGAAAUUCCUUGUCGGGUAAGUUCCGACCCGCACGAAAGGCGUAACGAUCUGGGAGCUGUCUCGGAGAGAGGCUCGGCGAAAUAGGAAUGUCUGUGAAGAUACGGACUACCUGCACCCGGACAGAAAGACCCUAUGAAGCUUUACUGUAGCUUGGUAUUGGGUUCGGGCUUUAAUCGCGCAGGAUAGGUGGGAGACUAUGAGAUAGCUCUUGUGGGAGUUAUGGAGUCACUGGUGAGAUACCACUCUAUUAAGGCUAGAAUUCUAACCUUGACCCGUUAUCCGGGCAGGGGACAGUAUCAGGUGGGCAGUUUGACUGGGGCGGUCGCCUCCUAAAUGGUAACGGAGGCGCGCAAAGGUUCUCUCAGGCUGGUUGGAAAUCAGCCAUCGAGUGUAAAGGCAAAAGAGGGCUUGACUGCGAGAGUGACAACUCGAGCAGGUACGAAAGUAGGCCUUAGUGAUCCGACGGUUCCGCGUGGAAGGGCCGUCGCUCAACGGAUAAAAGUUACUCUAGGAUAACAGGCUGAUCUCCCCCAAGAGUUCACAUCGACGGGGAGGUUUGGCACCUCGAUGUCGGCUCAUCGCAACCUGGGGCCGUAGUCGGUCCCAAGGGUUGGGCUGUUCGCCCAUUAAAGCGGUACGUGAGCUGGGUUCAGAACGUCGUGAGACAGUUCGGUCCAUAUCCGGUGCAGGCGUAGGAACAUUGAGAGGAGUCUUCCUUAGUACGAGAGGACCGGGAAGAACGCACCGCUGGUGUACCUGUUAUCGUGCCAACGGUAAACGCAGGGUAGCUAAGUGCGGAGAGGAUAACCGCUGAAAGCAUCUAAGUGGGAAGCCCACCUCAAGAUGAGUGUUCCCAUGGCAUAAGCCAGUAAGGUCACGGGUAGACCACCCGUUAAUAGGCGCUAGAUGGAAGUCCAGCAAUGGAUGUAGUCGAGGCGUACUAACAGACCGAGGGCUUG